rnacentral:snRNA from 1 species
GUGCUCGCUUCGGCAGCACAUAUACUAAAGUUGGAACAAUACAGAGAAGAUUAUCAUGGCCCUGUGCAAGGAUGACAUGCACAUUCGUGAAGUGUUCCAUAUCUUU